rnacentral:rRNA from 1 species
UACGAAGGGGGCUAGCGUUGCUCGGAAUCACUGGGCGUAAAGGGCGCGUAGGCGGCCGAUUAAGUCGGGGGUGAAAGCCUGUGGCUCAACCACAGAAUUGCCUUCGAUACUGGUUGGCUUGAGACCGGAAGAGGACAGCGGAACUGCGAGUGUAGAGGUGAAAUUCGUAGAUAUUGGGAAGAACACCGGUGGCGAAGGCGGCGACCUGGUCCGAUACUGACGCUGAGGCGCGAAAGCGUGGGGAGCAAACAGG